rnacentral:rRNA from 1 species
AGUCGAACGAGAGAUGAGGAGCUUGCUCUUCAAAUCGAGUGGCGAACGGGUGAGUAACGCGUGAGGAACCUGCCUCAAAGAGGGGGACAACAGUUGGAAACGACUGCUAAUACCGCAUAAGCCCACGGCUCGGCAUCGAGCAGAGGGAAAAGGAGCAAUCCGCUUUGAGAUGGCCUCGCGUCCGAUUAGCUAGUUGGUGAGGUAACGGCCCACCAAGGCGACGAUCGGUAGCCGGACUGAGAGGUUGAACGGCCACAUUGGGACUGAGACACGGCCCAGACUCCUACGGGAGGCAGCAGUGGGGAAUAUUGCACAAUGGGGGAAACCCUGAUGCAGCGACGCCGCGUGGAGGAAGAAGGUCUUCGGAUUGUAAACUCCUGUUGUUGAGGAAGAUAAUGACGGUACUCAACAAGGAAGUGACGGCUAACUACGUGCCAGCAGCCGCGGUAAAACGUAGGUCACAAGCGUUGUCCGGAAUUACUGGGUGUAAAGGGAGCGCAGGCGGGAGAACAAGUUGGAAGUGAAAUCCAUGGGCUCAACCCAUGAACUGCUUUCAAAACUGUUUUUCUUGAGUAGUGCAGAGGUAGGCGGAAUUCCCGGUGUAGCGGUGGAAUGCGUAGAUAUCGGGAGGAACACCAGUGGCGAAGGCGGCCUACUGGGCACCAACUGACGCUGAGGCUCGAAAGUGUGGGUAGCAAACAGGAUUAGAUACCCUGGUAGUCCACACCGUAAACGAUGAUUACUAGGUGUUGGAGGAUUGACCCCUUCAGUGCCGCAGUUAACAAAGUAAGUAAUCCACCUGGGGAGUACGACCGCAAGG